ensembl:lncRNA
GGGAGGAGGUGUAGGGAGGAUAUGUACCACCCAGCUAACAGUCCAGCUGUAGGGAGGAGGUGUACCACCCAGCUAACAGUCCAGCUAUAGGGAGGAGGUGUAGGGAGGAGGUGUAGGGAGGAGGUGUACCACCCAGCUAACAGUCCAGCUAUAGGGAGGAGGUGGAGGGAGGAGGUGUACCACCCAGCUAACAGUCCAGCUAUAGGGAGGAGGUGUAGGGAGGAGGUGUAGGGAGGAGGUGUACCACACAGCUAACAGUCCAGCUAUAGGGAGGAGGUGUAGGGAGGAGGUGUAGGGAGG